GUGUCAGCAGCCGCGGUAAUACGGAGGAUCCGAGCGUUAUCCGGAUUUAUUGGGUUUAAAGGGUGCGUAGGCGGCACUUUAAGUCAGGGGUGAAAGACGGCAGCUUAACUGUCGCAGUGCCUUUGAUACUGAAGUGCUUGAAUGCGGUUGAAGACGGCGGAAUGAGACAAGUAGCGGUGAAAUGCAUAGAUAUGUCUCAGAGCACCGAUUGCGAAGGCAGCUGUCUAAGCCGUUAUUGACGCUGAUGCACGAAAGCGUGGGGAUCGAACAGGAUUAGAAACCCGCGUAGUCC
rnacentral:rRNA from 1 species